CGGNCACGACACCGGAGAGGGAGCCUGAGAAACGGCUACCACAUCCAAGGAUGGCAGCAGGCGCGCAAAUUACCCAAUCCCGACACGGGGAGGUAGUGACAAUAAAUAACAAUACGGGGUCUUUUAGGAUUCCGUAAUUGGAAUGAGUACAAUUUAAAUCUCUUAACGAGGAACAAUUGGAGGGCAAGUCUGGUGCCAGCAGCCGCGGUAAUUCCAGCUCCAAUAGCGUAUAUUAAAGUUGUUGCAGUUAAAAAGCUCGUAGUUGAAUUUCGGGGUCAGUAAGUUGGUCGUGCCUACGGUAUGUACUGGCUUUACUGAUUCCUCCUUCUUGAAGAACUGCAAUGCCAUUAAUUUGGUGUUGCAGGGAAUCAGGACUGUUACUUUGAAAAAAUUAGAGUGUUUAAAGCAGGCUUACGCUUGAAUACAUUAGCAUGGAAUAAUGAAAUAGGACGUUGAUCCUAUUUUGUUGGUUUCUAGGGUUGACGUAAUGAUUAAUAGGGAUAGUUGGGGGCAUUAGUAUUCAAUUGUCGGAGGUGAAAUUCUUGGAUUUAUUGAAGACUAACUACUGCGAAAGCAUUUGCCAAGGAUGUUUUCAUUAAUCAAGAACGAAAGUUAGGGGAUCGAAGACCGAUCAGAUACCGUCCGUAGUCUUAACCCAUAAACUAUGCCGACCUAGGGAUCCGGAGUGGUGUUAAUUUUUUAAUGACUCANUCGCC
rnacentral:rRNA from 1 species